AACGAACGCUGGCGGCGCGCCUAAUACAUGCAAGUCGAGCGAGAAGACGUAGCAAUACGUUUGUAAAGCGGCGAACGGGUGAGGAAUACAUGGGUAACCUACCCUCGAGUGGGGAAUAACUAGCCGAAAGGUUAGCUAAUACCGCGUACGCUCCUUGGACUUCGGUUCAGGGAGGAAAGCGAUACCGUGGGUAUCGCGCUCUUGGAUGGGCUCAUGUCCUAUCAGCUUGUUGGUGAGGUAACGGCUCACCGAGGCUUCGACGGGUAGCUGGUCUGAGAGGACAAUCAGCCACACUGGCACUGCGACACGGGCCAGACUCCUAC
rnacentral:rRNA from 1 species